AGUACGUGAAACUGCUUAGAGAUUAAGCCUGAUGAACCUGAAUAUCCAUUAAUGGAAAAUUCAUCGCUAAUAUUUUAUGAUAUUUAUUUAUAUUAUAAAAAUGGUGUGCAUUUUUUCCAUAAAGGACAUUGUAAUCGGUUAAUAAAUUGAGAAUCUAUCAAAAGAUUCAUUUUAAGAGUUUAUUCUAAUUAAAUUUUUUUAAAUUUAAAAUUGAAUAAAUUUAAUGAAUUUAAUAGAUUGUUGACUGAUUUAUUUAUAAUAAUGUUUUAAAUUACUUUUGUAAUUUUAUAAUAAAUUUUUAUAUAUUCUUUGGAUAAAUAAUUAUUUAUUAUAUACAUUUUUAUGAUUUACAAUGUUAUAAAUUCAGGAUACCUUCGGGACCCGUCUUGAAACACGGACCAAGGAGUCUAACAUAUGUGCAAGUCGUUGAGUAAUUUUAAUAAAACUCAAAGGCAUAAUUAACUUAACUGUAUUUAAUGGGAUAAGUUUAUAAUUUUUUCUUUUUUAAUAAAAGAAAAGUUUUAAAUUCAAUCCCAGGGCGUUCUAUAUAGUUAUGCAUAAUAAUAUUUAUAUUAUUUAUGUCUCUAACUG
rnacentral:rRNA from 1 species